AUUGAACGCUGGCGGCAGGCCUAACACAUGCAAGUCGAACGGUAACAGGAAGAAGCUUGCUUCUUUGCUGACGAGUGGCGGACGGGUGAGUAAUGUCUGGGAAACUGCCUGAUGGAGGGGGAUAACUACUGGAAACGGUAGCUAAUACCGCAUAACGUCGCAAGACCAAAGAGGGGGACCUUCGGGCCUCUUGCCAUCGGAUGUGCCCAGAUGGGAUUAGCUAGUAGGUGGGGUAACGGCUCACCUAGGCGACGAUCCCUAGCUGGUCUGAGAGGAUGACAAGCCCCACUGGAACUGAGACACGGUCCAGACUCCUACGGGAGGCAGCAGUGGGGAAUAUUGCACAAUGGGCGCAAGCCUGAUGCAGCCAUGCCGCGUGUAUGAAGAAGGCCUUCGGGUUGUAAAGUACUUUCAGCGGGGAGGAAGGGAGUAAAGUUAAUACCUUUGCUCAUUGACGUUACCCGCAGAAGAAGCACCGGCUAACUCCGUG
rnacentral:rRNA from 1 species